ACUACGGGUGGCUGCAGUGAGGAAUAUUGGUCAAUGGGCGCGAGCCUGAACCAGCCAAGUAGCGUGAAGGAUGAAUGCCCUACGGGUUGUAAACUUCUUUUAUAAAGGAAUAAAGUGAGGCACGUGUACCUUUUUGUAUGUACUUUAUGAAUAAGGAUCGGCUAACUCCGUGCCAGCAGCCGCGGUAAUACGGAGGAUCCGAGCGUUAUCCGGAUUUAUUGGGUUGAAAGGGAGCGUAGAUGGGUUGUUAAGUCAGUUGUGAAAGUUUGCGGCUCAACCGUAAAAUUGCAAUUGAUACUGGCAGUCUAGAGUACAGUUGAGGUAGGCGGAAUGCGUGGUGUAGCGGUGAAAUGCUUAGAUAUCACGAAGAACACCGAUUGCGAAGGCAGCUUACUAAACUUCCACUGACAUUGAUGCUCGAAAGUGUGGGUAUCAAACAGGAUUAGAUACCCCUGUAGUC
rnacentral:rRNA from 1 species